GAUGAACGCUAGCGGCAGGCUUAACACAUGCAAGUCGAGGGGCAGCAUGAGACGGAGAUUCGUCGAAGUCUUGAUGGCGACCGGCGCAAGGGUGCGUAACGCGUGAGCAACUUGCCCGUUUCUGGGGAAUAACCGGUGGAAACGCCGACUAAUACCCCAUAGCAUUGACUUUGGGCAUCCUUAGUCAAUUAAAGAAUUUCGGAAACGGAUAGGCUCGCGUGACAUUAGCUAGAUGGCGGGGUAACGGCCCACCAUGGCUACGAUGUCUAGGGGUUCUGAGAGGAAGGUCCCCCACACUGGAACUGAGACACGGUCCAG
rnacentral:rRNA from 1 species